ACCCAGCAUGAGUUAUGUCAUGUUAUCGAUAUGUGAAUACAUAGCAUAUCAGAAGGCACACCCGGAGAACUGAAACAUCUUAGUACCCGGAGGAAGAGAAAGAAAAUUCGAUUCCCUUAGUAGCGGCGAGCGAAACGGGAAGAGCCCAAACCAACAAGCUUGCUUGUUGGGGUUGUAGGACACUCUAUACGGAGUUACAAAGGACGACAUUAGACGAAUCAUCUGGAAAGAUGAAUCAAAGAAGGUAAUAAUCCUGUAGUCGAAAAUGUUGUCUCUCUUGAGUGGAUCCUGAGUACGACGGAGCACGUGAAAUUCCGUCGGAAUCUGGGAGGACCAUCUCCUAAGGCUAAAUACUCUCUAGUGACCGAUAGUGAACCAGUACCGUGAGGGAAAGGUGAAAAGCACCCCGGAAGGGGAGUGAAAUAGAACCUGAAACCGUGUGCUUACAAGUAGUCAGAGCCCGUUAAUGGGUGAUGGCGUGCCUUUUGUAGAAUGAACCGGCGAGUUACGAUUUGAUGCAAGGUUAAGCAGUAAAUGUGGAGCCGUAGCGAAAGCGAGUCUGAAUAGGGCGUUUAGUAUUUGGUCGUAGACCCGAAACCAGGUGAUCUACCCUUGGUCAGGU
rnacentral:rRNA from 1 species